GAUGAACGCUAGCGGCAGGCUUAACACAUGCAAGUCGAGGGGUAGAGGCUUUCGGGCCUUGAGACCGGCGCACGGGUGCGUAACGCGUAUGCAAUCUGCCUUGUACUGGGGGAUAGCCCAGAGAAAUUUGGAUUAAUACCCCAUAGUAUUCUCGGUUGGCAUCAACUGAUUAUUAAAGUUUUUCGGUACAAGAUGAGCAUGCGUCCCAUUAGCUAGUUGGUAUGGUAACGGCAUACCAAGGCUACGAUGGGUAGGGGUCCUGAGAGGGAGGUCCCCCAAACUGGUACUGAGACACGGACCAGACUCCUGCGGGAGGCAGCAGUGAGGAAUAUUGGUCAAUGGUCGCAAGACUGAACCAGCCAUGCCGAGUGCAGGAUGAAGCAUCUAUGGUGUGUAAACUGCUUUUGUACGGGAAGAAACACUCCUACGUGUAGGAGCUUGACGGUACCGUAAGAAUAAGGAUCGGCUAACUCCGUGCCAGCCGCCGCGGUAAGAC
rnacentral:rRNA from 1 species